rnacentral:misc_RNA from 1 species
UCUCCGUAGGUGAACCUGCGGAGGGAUCAUUACAGAGCUCAUGCCCUACCGGGUAGAUCUCCCACCCUAUGUUAUUAUUACUUUGUUGCUUUGGCGGGCCGUUAGGCUCCGGCCCGACUACCGGCCCCGGCUGGUAGGCGCCCGCCAGAGGACCCAAAACCCUGAAUAUUAGUGUCGUCUGAGUACUAUAUAAUAGUUAAAACUUUCAACAACGGAUCUCUUGGUUCUG